CUCUGGGGCAGGUCCUCGCGUAGAACGCGGCUGUCAGAUCUGCCACUUCCCCUGCCGAGCGGCGGUGAGAAGUGUGGGAACCGGCGCUGCCAGGCUCACCUGCCUCCCCGCCCUCCGCUCCCAGCAUUGGUCAUCCGCCCCCCCACCAGGCUUCCACUCCCCCUCCCCUCUUAUCUCCCCUGGCUUCCCCUCCUCUCGGGCGCCGCGAAAAGCAGCCGCACUUAGUCAACAAAUGGCACGUGGGAGAAGUUGGAAUCUGAGAAUUGCUCUCACACACCAACCCUGCAACAUCCGUGGAGAAAACUCUCAGCAGCAACUCCUUUAAAAUACCGUCAUUUCAAACCAUUGUGGUCUUUAAGCAACAACA
rnacentral:sRNA from 1 species